AGUGAACGCUGGCGGUAGGCCUAACACAUGCAAGUCGAACGGCAGCACAGUAAGAGCUUGCUCUUACGGGUGGCGAGUGGCGGACGGGUGAGGAAUACAUCGGAAUCUACUUUUUCGUGGGGGAUAACGUAGGGAAACUUACGCUAAUACCGCAUACGACCUACGGGUGAAAGCAGGGGAUCUUCGGACCUUGCGCGAUUGAAUGAGCCGAUGUCGGAUUAGCUAGUUGGCGGGGUAAAGGCCCACCAAGGCGACGAUCCGUAGCUGGUCUGAGAGGAUGAUCAGCAACACUGGAACUGAGAAACGGUCCAGACUCCUAGGGGAGGCAGCAGUGGGGAAAAUUGGAAAAUGGGCGAAAGCCUGAUCCAGCAAUACCGCGUGGGUGAAGAAGGCCUUCGGGUUGUAAAGCCCUUUUGUUGGGAAAGAAAAGCAGCAGGUUAAUACCCCGCUGUUCUGACGGUACCAAAAGAAUAAGCACCGGCUAACUUCGU
rnacentral:rRNA from 1 species